GACGAACGCUGGCGGCGUGCCUAACACAUGCAAGUGGAGCGACGAACCAGACUUCGGUCUGGGGCCAAGCCGCGAACGGGUGAGUAACACGUGGGUAACCUGCCCCGAUGAUCGGGACAACCCGGGGAAACCCGGGCUAAUACCGAAUGUGGUCGCGGUCCGUGAGGACUGCGACGAAAGGAAGCUUCGGCCUCCGCAUCGGGAUGGGCCCGCGGCCCAUUAGCUUGUUGGUGGGGUAAUGGCCUACCAAGGCAUCGAUGGGUAGCUGGUCUGAGAGGACGAUCAGCCACACUGGGACUGAGACACGGCCCAGACUCCUACGGGAGGCAGCAGUGGGGAAUCUUGCGCAAUGCGCGAAAGCGUGACGCAGCAACGCCGCGUGGGGGAAGAAGGCUCUCGGGUCGUAAACCCCUUUCAGUUGGGACGAAGCUUCGCCGGUGAAUAGCCGGCCGGAGUGACGGUACCUUCACAAGAAGCCCCGGCUAACUACGUGCCAGCAGCCGCGGUAAAGCGUAU
rnacentral:rRNA from 1 species